ACAGAGGCCUCGAGCGUUAGGCGGAAUCACUGGGCUUAAAGCGUGUGUAGGCGGGCGCCUAAGUGUCUUGUGAAAUCCCACGGCUCAACCGUGGAACCGCUGGGCAUACUGGGCGUCUUGGGCCAACUAGGGGCAGCCGGAACAAGCGGUGGAGCGGUGAAAUGCGUAGAUAUCGCUUGGAACGCCGAAGGUGAAAACAGGCUGCUGGGGUUGCGCCGACGCUGAGACACGAAAGCCAGGGGAGCAAACGGGA
rnacentral:rRNA from 1 species